rnacentral:lncRNA from 1 species
AGAGAAAAAUGAGGAGGAAGCAAAAGCAGAAACCCCUGAUAAGCCCCUGAGGAACAGAGGAAAAAAUUAAUUCUUAAUUUAUUAGAAAUAAAUAUUAGAAUAGUGAAAUAUUAGAAGGACAGAGACUUGACAACAGAGACAGACGACUUGAAGUAAAAUACAAAUUGCUUGAGGAAUAAAACAGAUUUGGGGUAAAAGGAAGGCAAGUUUUCGAUACCA